GGGAUGGGGGAGGAGGGCUGCUGCCAAGGGAGGAACCGAGGCAGCUGAACUCGCUUUUCUUCGGCGAGUUUUUUUUCUCCCUCUGUGUUCCCAGGACAGGGUUGGCUUUCUAGUGAAUCUUGAGAUAUAAAGAAAGCAGCUGCCUCCCCCCGAGCACAUCUCGGACAAUGCGGCCGCAUCUCCAAGGGCUUUAACUCCUCUGGAUGCAAGGACAAAGCCACGGUGAGCUUCCCACGUUGCUGCUUCCUGCUCUGGAACACAGACGGGAGGUGGGGGAGAACCACAGUAAGGGUGGAUCCCACGCCAGCAGGAAUCCGGCCAGGUGAAGGGGACAAACCUGGUGGUGGCUGGAGGAGGAAGAGGAGGAGGAAGAGGAGGAGGAAGAGGAAGAGGCUCUUCUGGCAACCACUCAGCCCAACCACGAGGGAUAUUGGAUUGUGCUUCUAAUCUGGAUGAGUGGAAUCCUCCUGGUGUGGGCUUUGGGAGCAGCUGAUGGAAAACAGACAAAAGAGACUGACGGAGGGGGAUAUGGGUUAACAGGGUAAACCUGGGCACGUGCAAACAAUGGGAUUUCGUGUUAAAAAACACUGGAAGAUUGCAGCUGAGAGCAGGAAAUUGGGUCAGGUGCUGAGUGGUUGUAUCUGCUGUAGGAAAGCAGCUCUGGACAGGCUUUGGCCACCGGUGUGGGGAGGCAGGGCGAUGUGCCCCACUUCUCCCAUGCAAUGGGGUACCAUGCAACGGGGUACCCGGGCAGUGCUGAGCCUUCAGUGUGCUUUAAUCUCAUGGGAGCUGAAUUCUUUGGGGGUAAAAAACAGAAGAAAGGAAUGCCUGUGCCAUCAGGUGCAGAUGUGAGGCUGAGGAGAUGGGCUUUGUGCCCUGAGCAUGCAGUGGGAGGCUCUGAAAGGAGAAACCUCCUGGUAUGAGGUGUGAUUCUGGGUGUUACGGCUGGGGAAUUAUCACACAAGGUAUGAAAGAGCAGAACCUGUUGUGCAAAAGUCAAUCAGAGCGCUGAGUCAGAGCAGCCUCAAUGCGUGCUGAGCUUUUUGGACUCCUUAAAAUCACAUUUCUUGGUCCAAUGCAACCCUGCAUGUUUUCCCCCCAUCCCGUCUGUGUUUGUGGCAUUUGCUCAUAGGGAGUUCUGCUCAAUGCAGCAGCUCUGGGCAAUGCUAUGGGGUGCCUGGAUAUGGGAUGGGAGCUGUAGGUGGAGGGGUUUGGGGAUGGGUGAUGGGUUGGGUGGUCGUGGAAGGGCUGCUCCGCUCCAGGGAGGAUCCGAGUCCUUCAGCUAACAGAAAACUGCCACACUCAGCUGAACCCCAUUGAGGGAUAACAUUGGGCUUCACAACUCAGAAGUAAAGGUGGAGAUGGAAUGAAGCAGCAUCAGCUGUGAUACCGACCAGAGCCUGCAGCAGGAGGACACCCCCUGAGCACCGUGCUGCCCGGGACAGCUGUGCUCCCAGCAGGAGCUGAGUGCUCGUAUAAAUGGAGACGAAGCCCUUGGAUGUGAGGCAUCACUGAGUCUCGUUGAUUUCUGGGAGGAGCUGAGAGCCUCACUGCUCCUUCUGCCAUCUUUCCCAG
ensembl:lncRNA